rnacentral:lncRNA from 1 species
ACCAACCAAUGAUGUAGGGGAAGCAUUUCCAGCCACCAGGCUUCCCUGAAGAUUAUUAUCCUCUCCGUCCGUCCACCGCCACCACUUCGUUGUGGGUAGAGGGCGAGCAUUUGAAGCAGUCGAUCAAGAACCCCUACGAGGAUUGCUUCGUCUUUCUUUCUUUUCCUCUCUCACACGCGCGCUCUCCCUUUCUCUUGGGGAUCUUCAUCUAUUUUCCACAGUUCGCUCAUACCCCGGGCUGAGCUAUAGUAUUUGUCUUGGAGUAUAAAAUGGGCAGGCAAAAGAGGGCUAGGAUCGUUUAUCAGCGAGAU